rnacentral:rRNA from 1 species
UACGGAGGGGGCCAGCGUUGUUCGGAAUUAUUGGGCGUAAAGGGCGCGUAGGCGGUCGAGUAAGUCUGACGUGAAAUCCCUUGGCUCAACCAAGGAACUGCGUCUUAAACUGCUCGGCUGGAGUCCGGGAGAGGGUAGUGGAAUUCCCAGUGUAGCGGUGAAAUGCGUAGAUAUUGGGAGGAACACCGGUGGCGAGGGCGGCUACCUGGACCGGUACUGACGCUGAGGCGCGAAAGCUAGGGUAGCAAACAGG